ACACACACACACACACACACACACACACACACACACACACACACACACACAUGCUCCUUGACUAUAAAGCUCUAAGGGACUCAGGGACAGUACGGUAUGUGCUUCUCUGUACUUACAGAGCAGAGUCAGUCAGGUACAGGGCCUAGUGAGCUAUUAAGGGCUAGCCUUCUUCCUGGAAAUACUGAAAGUCACUGGAGAGAAAAGAAUAAACAACAGGAUUGUCAGAAAGAAGAUGAAGGGAGAGGAAAAGGAAGAAACAGGAGGGAGGUCACUGAAAAUCCUUCCCUUCAGUGGGAGCGUGAGAACAAAGCAGACCGUCAUCUCGGAUGUUUGGCUGAGCUUUUGCUUUCGGCACUGGGCAUUGAAGCCAGAGCUUUUCAGAUGUCAGGCAAGCAUGUGGCUACUGAGCUACAGCAUGGGGCUUUCUCUUUUGACCUAUGAUCAUGUUAAUAUAUUUGCUCGGAAGAUAAUUAACUUCGAAUUUUGUCUUUUUCUGGACUAGCAGUGAAUGGCACAACCCAGAUGCAGCAGGCCACAGCUUCUCCCUAGCAAAGUGCUCAAAGGAACUGUGUCAGUAAACUGUGAUGUGUGUGUGUGAGAGAGAGUGUUGUGUGUGUGUGAGAGUGUGUGAGUAUGUUGUGUCUGUGUGUGAGUGUGUGUGUGAGCAUGAUGUGUUUGUCUUAGUUAAAGGUAUUAAAGGUAAAAAUUUAAGGGAAUAGGAG
rnacentral:lncRNA from 1 species